rnacentral:rRNA from 1 species
ACGCUCGACACCUACGGGAAGCAGCAGUGGGGAAUAUUGCACAAUGGGGGAAACCCUGAUGCAGCGACGCCGCGUGGAGGAAGAAGGUCUUCGGAUUGUAAACUCCUGUUGUUGGGGAAAAAGAGGAUGGUACCCAACAAGGAAGUGACGGCUAACUACGCGCCAGCAGCCGCGGUAAUCUGAGCGGGCUGGCAAGGC